UUAAAGGAAUUGACGGGGCCCGCACAAGCGGAGGAACAUGUGGUUAAUUCGAUGAUACGCGAGGAACCUUACCUGGGCUUAAAUGGGGAGUGACAGCUGUCGAAAGAUGGUUUUCUUCGGACACUCUUCAAGGUGCUGCAUGGUUGUCGUCAGCUCGUGCCGUGAGGUGUCGGGUUAAGUCCCAUAACGAGCGCAACCCUUACCGUUAGUUACCAUCAGGUUAAGCUGGGGACUCUAGCGGGACUGCCACCGUAAGGUGAGAGGAAGGUGGGGAUGACGUCAAAUCAGCACGGCCCUUAUGUCCAGGGCUACACACGUGUUACAAUGGCCAGUACAAAGGGCAGCUACCGGGUGACCGGAUGCUAAUCUCUAAAGCUGGUCUCAGUUCGGAUCGAAGUCUGCAACCCGACUUCGUGAAGCUGGAUUCGCUAGUAAUCGCGCAUCAGCCAUGGCGCGGUGAAUACGUUCCCGGGCCUU
rnacentral:rRNA from 1 species